UACGGAGGGUGCGAGCGUUGUCCGGAAUUAUUGGGCGUAAAGCGCGUGUAGGCGGCUUUGCAAGUCGGGUGUGAAAGCCCUCAGCUCAACUGAGGAAGUGCGCCCGAAACUGCAGAGCUUGAGUGCCGGAGAGGGUGGCGGAAUUCCCCAAGUAGAGGUGAAAUUCGUAGAUAUGGGGAGGAACACCGGUGGCGAAGGCGGCCACCUGGACGGUAACUGACGCUGAGACGCGAAAGCGUGGGGAGCAAACAGG
rnacentral:rRNA from 1 species